AUGCAAAAUAAAAAAUAAAAAAUAAAACAGGGCCGCUUGACUUGUGUUCCAAAGCAUUAGCGUCCCCCAAGAGACGGAGGCAAAGGCAGCAAGCACCGCCAAAGUGUCAUCGCAUGUGCCAUGCCAUCCAUGGGAUAUAAAAGAAAAGAAGAUAAGAAGCCCACAUCACUGCAGUCUAAAGGUCUAUCAAGUGUCAACAACCCAAAAAACCAGAACUUCGAAUUCCACGACUACAAAUAAAAUCUCCUCUUGCUGUUUCUACGGAGCUCAGGUGCAUCAAUCUCCAUCCACCCUCUCAGAUCCAACAGCUAUGAUCUCGUCAUGCCAUUGAUCACAUCCAUCAUCCAAUCAGAGGACCUCAAAAGAAGGACUAAAAUAAUGUUGUUUGUAGAGAGAAUAUUAUUGGACAGAGUUUGUUAGUUGACGUAAGCGUCCUCAUCUUCUUUGCCUUUUAAGAAUCAGACAGUUCCAACGUUUCUCGUGCUUUAUACCGACCCGUUCGCUCCCAGAAGUUCUUCAUCUUAAUUGGGUUAAUAUCUCUGGUUUUUGAUUAAGAGGGAAGAAGGGAAAAUAUGAUGGAGCUGUUUUUGUUGAGUUGCACAGGAGUAGUGGUGUUGCUCCACGGAGCUAAUUUCUUCUUCCAUAUUCUCUCCCAUCACUUCGCCUUUCGUUCCCUCAGUUUUCUGGGAUUUGCUGGAUGAUAAAGCAAACAAGAAAGCAGAGAUGACUUCUUAAUUUCGUCAAGCAAACUUCUAAUGGUAGCUCGCACCUGUAGUCACGUUCGUUCUGUGGAUUUCCCUUCUUUUCUUUCUCAGUAGCAAGAGAUAGCUUGUAUAUAUUGUAUAAGAGCCAUUUACAGUCCUUGAAAUAAAUGGAGAAUUGUAUUUGUAUCAAAUUCAGAUCUAAAUUUAUCUCCAACGCAGACAUUGUCAUAUGUAUGAACCUUUAAUCAAUUUCCUGUUUAGUUUUACUCU